GGAACCACACUGAUCCAUCUCGAACUCAGAUGUGAAACGUU
rnacentral:rRNA from 1 species